rnacentral:rRNA from 1 species
GAUGAACGCUGGCGGCGUGCCUAAUACAUGCAAGUCGAGCGAACUGAUUAGAAGCUUGCUUCUAUGACGUUAGCGGCGGACGGGUGAGUAACACGUGGGCAACCUGCCUGUAAGACUGGGAUAACUUCGGGAAACCGAAGCUAAUACCGGAUAGGAUCUUCUCCUUCAUGGGAGAUGAUUGAAAGAUGGUUUCGGCUAUCACUUACAGAUGGGCCCGCGGUGCAUUAGCUAGUUGGUGAGGUAACGGCUCACCAAGGCAACGAUGCAUAGCCGACCUGAGAGGGUGAUCGGCCACACUGGGACUGAGACACGGCCCAGACUCCUACGGGAGGCAGCAGUAGGGAAUCUUCCGCAAUGGACGAAAGUCUGACGGAGCAACGCCGCGUGAGUGAUGAAGGCUUUCGGGUCGUAAAACUCUGUUGUUUGGGAAGAAUAAGUACAAGAGUAACUGCUUGUACCUUGACGGUACCUAACCAGAAAGCCACGGCUAACUACGUGCCAGCAGCCGCCGUAAAAC